UUAAGUAAGAAAGAGCGUAUGGCGAAUGCCUAGGCACAAAGAGGCGAAGAAGGACGCAGCAAACGGCGAAACGCGACGGAGAGCAGUAAGCAAGCAACGACCCGUCGAUAUCCGAAUGGGGGAACCCAUCAUCAAGAGAAGGAUGAUAUCACGUGAUGAAUACAUAGUCACGAUGAGGCGAGACGCAGGGAACUGAAACAUCUCAGUACCUGUAGGAGAAGAAAGUAAAAACGAUUCCGUAAGUAGUGGCGAGCGAAAGCGGAGGAGCCCAAACCAUCAUAACGAUGGGGUUAUAGGGCUGUCAAAGAAGUGAGAGGACAUGAUAGGAGAAACUGCAGGGAAGCAGUAACGAAGAGGGUGAUAUUCCCGUAUCCGAAAUUGUGAAAUCGAGCGAGGCAGUACCUGAGUACGUCGGGGCACGUGGAAUCCUGACGGAAUUAUCGAGGACCAUCUCGAAAGGCUAAAUACUCCUUUGUGACCGAUAGUGAACCAGUACCGUGAGGGAAAGGUGAAAAGAACCCCGGGAGGGGAGUGAAAGAGAACCUGAAACCAUAUGCUUACAAGAAGUCAGAGCCCGUUAAAGGGUGAUGGCGUGCCUUUUGUAGAAUGAGCCGGCGAGUUAUGAUAUGCAGCAAGGUUAAGUGGGAGACACGGAGCCGAAGCGAAAGCGAGUCUUAAUAGGGCGAGAGUUGUAUGUCAUAGACCCGAAACCGAGUGAUCUAGCCAUGAUCAGGUUGAAGUUGGGGUAAAACCCGAUGGAGGACCGAACCGACCCCCGUUGAAACGUUGGCGGAUGAAUUGUGGCUAGGGGUGAAAUUCCAAACGAACUCGGAGAUAGCUGGUUCUCCCCGAAAUAGCUUUAGGGCUAGCGUCAGAGUGAAAGUUAUGUGAAGGUAGAGCACUGAAUAUGUGAUGGCCUCAUCCCGAGGUACUGAAUAUAAUCAAACUCCGAAUGUCACAGGAACAUAUCUGGCAGUCAGACUGUGGGUGAUAAGGUCCAUAGUCAAAAGGGAAACAGCCCAGACCAUCAGCUAAGGUCCCAAAAUAUAUGCUAAGUGGAAAAGGAUGUGGAGAUGUAUAGACAACUAGGAGGUUGGCUCAGAAGCAGCCACCCUUUAAAGAGUGCGUAACAGCUCACUAGUCGAAUGACUCUGCGCCGAAAAUUUACCGGGGCUAAGCAUAAUACCGAAGCUAUGGAUUUAUACGAAGAGUAUAAGUGGUAGGGGAGCGUUCCUCACAGCGACGAAGCAUGAUCGAAAGGACAUGUGGAGCGUGAGGAAGAGAGAAUGCCGGUGUGAGUAGCGGCACGUGGGUGAGAAUCCCACGCACCGAAGACCCAAGGUUUCCAGAGGAAGGUUCGUCCGCUCUGGGUAAGUCGGGGCCUAAGGCGAGGCCGAAAGGCGUAGUCGAUGGAUAACGGGUAGAGAUUCCCGUACCUGAAAUAGAGGCAAUGGAGUGACGGAGAAGGCUAAACGAUCCAGCUGCUGGAAUAGCUGGUGCAAGCGAGGUAGGUGACAUCCAGGCAAAUCCGGAUGUUGAAAGCCGAAGGCGUGAUGCGUAUGGAACACUUAGGUAAGUACAGAAGUCGUUGAAGCAAGCUUCCAAGAAAAGCUUCUAGCAAAACUCUAUAUCAGCCCGUACCGAAAAUGGACACACAUGGGUGAGGAGAGAAUCCUAAGGUGAGCGAGAGAACUAUAGCUAAGGAACUCUGCAAAAUGACUCCGAGAAGGAGUGCUCAGUGAAAGCUGAGCCGCAGUAAAACGGCCCAAGCGACUGUUUACCAAAAACACAGCUCUCUGCCAAGACGCAAGUCGAAGUAUAGGGGGUGACGCCUGCCCGGUGCUGGAAGGUUAAGAGGAGUGGUUAGCGCAAGCGAAGCCAUGAAUUGAAGCCCCAGUAAACGGCGGCCGUAACUAUAACGGUCCUAAGGUAGCGAAAUUCCUUGUCAGGUAAGUUCUGACCCGCACGA
rnacentral:rRNA from 1 species